UCCGUAGGGUGCAAACGUUAUCCGGAUUUAUUGGGCGUAAAGAGCUCGUAGGCGGUUUUGUAAGUUGGAUAUUAAAGACCCAGGCUCAACUUGGGGAAAGUAUCCAAAACUGCAAGACUAGAGUGAUGCAGGGGAGAACUGAACUUACGGUGUAGCGGUGGAAUGCGUAGAUAUCGUAAGGAACGCCAAUGGUGAAGACAGUUCUCUGGGCAUUUUCUGACGCUGAGGAGCGAAAGCGUGGGUAGCGAUCGGG
rnacentral:rRNA from 1 species